GACGAACGCUGGCGGCGUGCCUAAUACAUGCAAGUUGAGCGCUGAAGGUUGGUACUUGUACCGACUGGAUGAGCAGCGAACGGGUGAGUAACGCGUGGGGAAUCUGCCUUUGAGCGGGGGACAACAUUUGGAAACGAAUGCUAAUACCGCAUAAAAACUUUAAACACAAGUUUUAAGUUUGAAAGAUGCAAUUGCAUCACUCAAAGAUGAUCCCGCGUUGUAUUAGCUAGUUGGUGAGGUAAAGGCUCACCAAGGCGAUGAUACAUAGCCGCCCUGAGAGGUGGAUCGCCCACAUGGGAACGGGACACGGCCCCAACCCCCACGGGGAGGAGGCGGAGGGAAACAUCGGAAAUGGACGGAAGUCCGACCCAAGCAAGCCGGGGUGGGUGAAGAGGGUUUCGGAUCGUAAAACUCUGUUGGUAGAGAAGAACGUGGGUGAGGGUGGAAAGCUCAUCAAGUGACGGUAACUAACCAGAAAGGGACGGCUAACUACGUG
rnacentral:rRNA from 1 species